GACGAACGCUGGCGGCGUGCUUAACACAUGCAAGUCGAACGGUGAGGCCCUUCGGGGUACACGAGUGGCGAACGGGUGAGUAACACGUGGGUGAUCUGCCCUGCACUUCGGGAUAAGCCUGGGAAACUGGGUCUAAUACCGGAUAGGACCACUGCCUGCAUGGGUGGUGGUGGAAAGCUUUUGCGGUGUGGGAUGGGCCCGCGGCCUAUCAGCUUGUUGGUGGGGUGAUGGCCUACCAAGGCGACGACGGGUGGCCGGCCUGAGGGGGUGACCUGCCACACUGGGACUGAGAUACGGCCCAGACUCCAACGGGAGGCAGCAGUGGGGAAUAUUGCACAAUGGGCGCAAGCCUGAUGCAGCGACGCCGCGUGAGGGAUGACGGCCUUCGGGUUGUAAACCUCUUUCAGCACCGACGAAGCGCAAGUGACGGUAGGUGCAGAAGAAGGACCGGCCAACUACGUGCCAGCCGCCGCGGUAA
rnacentral:rRNA from 1 species